CGCAGGGAAAUGAUGUUUCUUUAAACCUUCCAGUGUUAUUUUAGAGUCUUCACAGGUUUCUGCCAGGGCAACCAAGUUGGCCAGAAUGUCCUUGGUCUUCAGAGACAGAUCCUGUGGAUUAAAGUGUAGUAAGAAAUGAAAUAUUCACAGACUUGGCCGCUCUAAGGUUGUGUCCGGGCUGCAUACUUCAACAGACGCAAUGUACAAGAUGGUGCUGUGGUUGUGUCCUCACCUUAAUCACCUGACUGUCUGACUUCUCGGGGUCUUCAGAUGACUGGACAAUAAGGUGACCAACCUCUUUGUGUAGCUUCCCCAUGGACAUGGCCUCUGUGGACAGACA